AAUAUGACACGGUUUUAACUACUUAUUAUGAAAUGUAAAUAUUUAAGUAUUAAUGUUUUUAAAAAGUCUGAUUUAUGUUUUAACUACUUAUUAUGAAAUGUAAAUAGUCCCAUAUCGUGAUAGUAUGCUACGCGAUCAAAUUCGUUUUAACUACUUAUUAUGAAAUGUAAAUCAAGUAACAGGAAAAGGACAAGUAUAUCUAUUAAAGUUUUAACUACUUAUUAUGAAAUGUAAAUUACAACAUGAGCUGGCUAUUCUCUUCUGCUGAAACAGGUUUUAACUACUUAUUAUGAAAUGUAAAUCCUAAUACACCUAAACUACUCUUAUAUAUAAAAACAGUUUUAACUACUUAUUAUGA
rnacentral:sRNA from 1 species